AAAAUCAAAACAAGAUCUGUAGCCUUUGUUGCAUUGUUGCAGGCUGGGAGGAAUGUUGUCCCACCAGUUGGACAACAAAACACCCUUCAAAGAAAAACAGUCAUGUAAUUACUGGAAGAAAUCUGAGGCGCAUGGAGGAAAUACAGACAAAGGCUGAGCUCCCGGAAAAAACUCAAAGAGAAGUGGACCAACCGGCUUCGGCUGGACGUGCGGUGUGGCAGCAUAAAAGCAGGUCUGGCUGUAGAUCUGCUAUCCACUUCGUCCAGAAGCAACAUGAAGGUCUUCCUGCUAGCACUGUUGGUCGUACUGAUGUGUAGCACCCAGGUGCACACACUCAGAUGUUUCGUCUGUGAGGGAGAGGAGGGCUGCGCCACCGCCACAGAAUGUCUCAACCAUGAGAAAUUCUGCAAGAUGUCUUUCACAGAGACUUCCGUGUCCAGAAGCUGUGCGUCUCAGUGCAAGAUGGACGAGCACCAGGACUGCUGCAUGGAAGACGAAUGCAACCACUAGAGUCCUCUCCAACCACCACGCUUUUUAAUCAAAGGAAUCAUUAGAAAAGGUUAUGCAAUGUAACAUUAUAUACCAUAUGGGCUAGGUCACUUGGUAAUCAGAGAGCAGAUAUUCUUAAUUUGUUUCUUCGUUAGUUCAAUUGGUCCAGUUUUUCUUGGAAAUAUGCUAUAAUGCAUUAAACUAGUGCAAUUUUAAUCAAACAAGAUGUUGCCUUUUUUUUUGGUAUUUCAAUUGACACACACACACACACACACACACACACACACACACACACACACACACACACACACACACACACACACACACACA
ensembl:lncRNA